CUGCUCUGUCUUCAGAGAGCGUGAAGGAAUUAGAGGAAGCACAUCGGAGCAGCCUCAGAGAAGCCUCUUUACCACGUUACACAAUCGUUCAAUCCAUCAGCCCCGGGAAGGCAAUGCAGGGUUCUGCCUGGGCUUGUCCUUAUUUGCUACUUACCAUCUUCUGCCUUCUGGGGGCUCCUCCUUGCCUUUGCCAGUUUCUUCCCCUGCUUGUUGACCUCUGCUUUCUUCUCAUCUGGGGCAGGUCAAGUAUGAACUCCCUGAACAGGUUUUCUUUUUCUUUCUUUUUGGUACCAGGGAUUGAACCCAAAGGCCUUUAACCACUGAGCCACCUCCUCAGCCCUUUUUAUUUUUUAUUUUGAGACAGGAUCUCUCUUCAGUUGCUCAGGGCCUCACCAAGUUGCUGAGGCUGGCUUUGAAUGUGCCAUCCUCCUGCCUCAGCCUCCUAAACUUCUGGGAUUACAGGUUUUCUAAGGGGCACGUGGGCCACCCCAUUCCCAGGAUCACUGUGCUCUGUCUCCAGGCUCCACCCCCCUCUCAGCCUUUGCCCACCCCUGGAAUGCCCCUCCACCCUUGCUCCCCAGACAGCACAGAGGCUUCCAUUGUGGAGACCCCCCUGCUGCCCUGAGGGCUGGACUGGCCCCUGUGUGCUCCCAGGAUGCCCACCACCUCCCUCUGCCCUGGCGCUGUGGGGUUACCUUGAACAGAGCCGGGCAUUGUCCUCUUGCCUCCAGAGAGGAAGCUCCCUGGGAGGCAGGUAGAAGCUUUUCCCUUUGCUGCAAUUACCACAUUAGGGAGGGACAAAAUGUGCCUUCCAGAAAUCACUUCUCCAAGAAUCCCACUCAGGAAAACAAGACAACAGUGAGAUGGACCAUUUUUCUUCUGUCUUUUCAUUUUUAAUAUUCAUUUUUUCACUUUGAGUUACAGAGCUAAUUUUAUCACCGAACAACAUAUACUUUAUACAAUUGCUUUCAUUUCAUUGAAAAUCUGUUUUGAAAAAAAUGUAUGAUGGAGUAGCAUAGAAGAAAUCAGGACAGACAGCAAG
rnacentral:lncRNA from 1 species